UACGUAGGGUGCGAGCGUUAAUCGGAAUUACUGGGCGGAAAGCGUGCGCAGGCGGUUUUGUAAGCCAGGUGUUAAAUCCCCGGGCUCAACCUGGGAAUGGCAUUUGGGACUGCAAGGCUGGAGUGCGGCAGAGGAGACUGGAAUUCCUGGUGUAGCAGUGAAAUGCGUAGAUAUCAGGAGGAACACCGAUGGCGAAGGCAGGUCUCUGGGCUGACACUGACGCUCAUGCACGAAAGCGUGGGGAGCAAACAGG
rnacentral:rRNA from 1 species